GCCUAAUACAUGCAAGUCGAGCGGACAGAUGGGAGCUUGCUCCCUGAUGUUAGCGGCGGACGGGUGAGUAACACGUGGGUAACCUGCCUGUAAGACUGGGAUAACUCCGGGAAACCGGGGCUAAUACCGGAUGGUUGUUUGAACCGCAUGGUUCAAACAUAAAAGGUGGCUUCGGCUACCACUUACAGAUGGACCCGCGGCGCAUUAGCUAGUUGGUGAGGUAACGGCUCACCAAGGCAACGAUGCGUAGCCGACCUGAGAGGGUGAUCGGCCACACUGGGACUGAGACACGGCCCAGACUCCUACGGGAGGCAG
rnacentral:rRNA from 1 species